CGCGUAGGCGGUCUUUUAAGUCAGACGUGAAAGCCCGGGGCUCAACCCCGGAAGUGCAUUUGAAACUAAGGGACUUGAGUAUGGGAGAGGGAAGUGGAAUUCCUGGUGUAGCGGUGAAAUGCGUAGAUAUCAGGAGGAACACCGGUGGCGAAGGCGACUUCCUGGACCAAUACUGACGCUGAGGCGCGAAGGCGUGGGGAGCAAAC
rnacentral:rRNA from 1 species